rnacentral:lncRNA from 1 species
GGGUGGGCGGGGCCGAGCGCUCUGCUGGGACUCGGGCGAGCCGCAGCCUAGAGGAGGGCAAAGCCCGAGCUGGGCAGGAGGCGACGCCAGGGCAGCUGGAGGAGAGACCUCCCCGCCGGGGCGCUGCCCACCUCGUGUCUCCGGGCUCCUCGAGGAAGCAUGCCACUCAUCCUGCUGAUGCCCCCUUGUUGCCGUUUAUUCCUGCCUUGUACCGGCCUCACUCGUUGGUUUUCUAUGGUUGGCAAUGACAUCUGUCAGCGCUUAAAAAACAAUGAGGUGAGAAGGCUUAGAGGAUCAGAAACCAAGAGACAGGCACAGACUACCAAAACUGACUCAAGAGGAAAUAGAAAAUAUGUACAAGAGUGUAACAAAUGGAGAGAUUGGAUAGGGGUGUUUUGUUUUGUUUUCAGUGCCCAGAAUACAAGCUGA